rnacentral:lncRNA from 1 species
AGCGCCCGAGGAACCCCGCAGCCCACUGCCCUGGCGUCUCCGGCAGUGGGAGGCCGAGAGGGGCUGUUGGCUAGAGCCCUCCACCACCUGCUGUCUCGCCCUCGCCCCUUUCUCUCGGAUUCAUUACCCAGAAGGCGCAGGUCCGGGCACAUUCAGCGAUGCGGUCCAGAUGGGGUGCGGGUGGGGCGCAGGCCGCCGCCGCCGCCGCCGCCGAGUCCGUUAGCUCGCGACGUGCGUGAAAAGGCGGCGGCGGCGUAGUGUUGCCAUGGCAGCCGCGGCCGCGCGGUGGGCGCAGCGCGGGAGGGAGCGCGGGGGCUGUGAGUCCGCUCUGGGGCGGAGCUUGGGACUCCCGCCCAGGUUGCCGGGGGGAGGGAGGUGCAGCGGCGCGGGGUGGGAGAGCAGGGAGACAGUGACAUUGAGGAGGACGUGUGGCCGACUGAGCUCUGGUCGUGCUUGAUGAGCCUGCCUCCACUGCGUCCAGCCCCCGUGGCAGGGCACCUUCGUGCCUGCUGCUUUCGGAGGUGAUGCCAGUGGCGUCGAAGGAGGGGGCACCCGGGGCGUCGCAGCGCCUUUCCCGCCGCCUGUCCAGGCGUCCGCCGCUGGGUCUGCCCCCAAGGGAUGUGUGGAUCCUACGCCACCUCUGUGUUUUUCUCCAGUCAAACCGAAUUGAAGUCUUUCGCACCCCCUUUCUCCAUUCUCUGGGGAGGGGGAUAGAAGGGAAUCCUUCGAUAAGAUGGAAUGCAUAUGGCCUUUAGGAUUAUUCAGGAGGUUUUAGAAUUUGCAAAUGGCAUUGCUUUCGACUGAAUUUGGAUUUAUGCUGUUUCUUGGCAAUCGUUUGUGGACUCUAGGAUAAACAGGUUAAGAGCGUGGGCUUCUAAAACGAAUUCUUAGUUCACGUCCUGCCCCUGUGCUUGGUAGCUGAUGACCAGAGGCGCCUUUCUCACCUCUUAACGUUUUGAUCUGCAAAAAUGGAGAUAUCCAUCUUGCAACUCUUGUAAGAAAUACACGCAUUAAUACUGAUGAAGCUCUAUAAAACAAAGCUUAGCAUUUAACAAUAGCUAUUAAAUAUUAAUUAUUUAAUCAAUAGUGAUAAAAGUCAGAAUAGUGGUUGGCUGUCGGGGAGGAGUUUGAGAGAAUUUUUUGUAGUGAUGAAAAAAUUCUAUAGCUAAGAGUUUCGGUUACAGAAGUAUAUGCACUUGUCAAAACUCUUGGAAUGGGACAUUUAAGAUUUGUACAUUUCACUGCAUGUAAAUUUACCUCAAAAGAGAACAUAAAAAUGUGUUGUUAUUAUUAUUAGAGCUAUAGACUCUAAUGGAAACUACAGAGAUAUUCUAGGCCCAAUCUCUAGAUUUUAUAGAUGGGAAAACUGAGGCCCAGAAAUUUAAUAGAAAAAAAGAGGAAGGGGAGUGAAUUCGUGACCUUGUCAUUUUCUAGUAAUGAAUAUCUCCUGAAAAAUUAUGGUUGAAAAUAACAAAAAUGGCUCCUGUAAUCCAGCUGAGUCAUCCUACCACAGAGAUUUUCUUGAACUUGACUGAGUCCCUUAUCCACCUUGUGGUGUUCCCCACGGCCAAUGUCCUCUCAAGGAUUGCACCGUCACUUCUGGCUCUCAGUUCUUGCUUUUCCUGAACACUUAGACCUCUCCACAUAUCACCUCUUACAACUCUCCUCUCUCUACUCCUGCUGACACAUAAUUUCGAAAUCAGCCCCUUUUCUUUGGUUGUUUCUAUAGCCAACUCUUUAGAAGGUUUGGAGCAGAUAAGUGGUUUUAAAUUAAGGAUGCAAAAAACCUAAAAUUAGAAAUCCCUGCUCUUAAAAGUCCUUCAGUUCCUCCCAUGAUAUUUUUAUCCACCAUUUUUUCAUCAUAACCUGUAACCUCCCACUAUUGUACCAUCUUUCUGGUCCCAUCUCUCCCCUCCUCUCCUCUCUUUAUACAAUACUUUUAUUUCCAUCUCCUAAUCUGUGCCUUCAUAGCUACCUGCCAUUCCUAAACUGUUUACCAAAGUUUUUUCCUACACAAAGUAACUUCCCAAGAGGAACUCUGGAGCCAGCUAUUAAAAUAAUAUUUUUUCACAUAUGUAUCCUCAUAUUCUAUUUGAUUCAGUCCACAGUGUAGCUGCUCAAUAAAUAUUAAGCAGCUUACGUACAUGACCUGUUGAUAUAGUUUGGCUGUGUCCCCACCCACCUCUCACUUUAUUGUAAUAAUUCCCACCUGUCAAGGGCAGGGCCAGGUGGGGAUAAUUGAAUCAUGGGCGCGGUUUCACCCGUACUGUUCUUAUGGUAGUGAAUAAGUCUCAUGAGAUCUGAUGGCUUUAUAAAUGGGAGUUCCCCUACACAAGCUCUUUUGCCUGCCACUGUGUAAGAAGCCCCUUUGCUCUUCCUUCAUCUUCCGCCAUGAUUGUGAGGCCUCCCCAGCCAUGUGGAACUGAGUCCAUUAAAACUCUUUCCUUUAUAAAUUACCCUGUCUUGGUUAUGUCUUUAUUAGCAGCAUGAAAACGGACUAAUACACCUGUCCUGGCUACCUUCACAGUGGGUUCACUUAUGAAACCCAUUUUCUUACAUCCAUAAUAAUGGUUUACUCUAGUAUAAAUGAGGAAGCUAUGUGAUAAUAGCUGGAAUCUGCUGUCUAAGAGGAAGAAAAGAAACCAAAGUAACCAUAGCUUGUACAGAAGAAAUGACAGCACUUAAGAGAUGAAGUCCGGAACAAAGUCUGGUAUGAAGCCAUAGGACAUCCUUAUAGGAACUUGGACCUGUCACCUGCAGCAAUUUGGUCACAACUCUGCAUAUGUAAUGAGCAUGUAAAUAAAUUCUCCUUUACUCCUGGAGAAGAUGUUACUGAUCUGCUACCAGCUGAACACAUGUUUGUAGUAGGGAUGAUAGGUUCACCGGAUCCAUCUCUCCCUGAUCUGGUUUCCCUUGUGACCGAUCACUUGUCUUUCUUUGCAAGGCAGCUGGCCAAGGUUGUAGUGCAGCCUACAGCCAUGACGAAGUCUCCAAAGACAAGGUCCCAAUGCAUAACGCUCCUUGUUUUGUGAAGCCAGGAUCCCAGAAAAUCAGCUCAGCAGGACAGGCCACUUGAGAAUGGAUGACAGCAGCACAAACAAAAGCUGUCACAAAAGUGAGUUGGAGGUGGGCAGUCGCGGGAGGGAAGACCACAAGCCACUGAAGCACAGCCUUAAAAUGCCUCGCAUGGCUAUGGACAGGUAGGAACGAAUAAGGACCGAUAGUAAACCAUAGUUUAUUGUUUUCACCAGAUACUUUGGACCUGUUCAAGUGAUAGUUAAACACCCUAUACAAAUCCAAAAGAUGGAGCUGAAAGUAGUAGCACAUUAAUCCACACAGGCAGUGUGGUCAAGAGCCACCACCCUCAUUUACAGCGCAUCUGGUUUACAGUUGAGGUCUUUCCUCAGUUCUUAGAGUUCUUGGCCUCUCUGGCAUUUGACUUUGCUGACUACCCUCCUUGGUGGGUCCUUGACCUUGGAUCUCUUCAGAGCUUUCCAACCAGACUUCAUUAUGUUAUUCACCAGCUCUUUUACCUGCUUCUUAAAUGUGAGGAUAGUUGCCAAGGUUCAGUCACUACACCUUUUCCAUUUGCAAGCUUCCGCCUUGGCCGUGGGUGAUGCUCCAAUUUCUCUUGCUAGUUCUGAUCCACAAGUUCCAGCACUGCACAAGCAGGCCCACUCUUCCUUAACUUGUUCUGUUACUUCUGUUCUCUUCGUCUAAGAUACCAGCGCCUUACCCUAUCUAAGGUCUACGUAUUCUGAAAACAAACCUUCACAUGAAACCUUUCCAGAUCAUUCCUGCUCAGUCAUAUCACCCUGCUCUGUGCUCAGAAUAUUUCCUGCCAAUCUCACUCCCUUGACAGCUGACCAUACUGCUGAGUGGCUGCUCAGUAUUGUUUACUCAUUGGCUUUUUGUCUUUUCUCACUAUAUUUCAAGCUCCUCCAACGUGUAUUUCUGGGUAUUCUCAAAAACACCUUCAUAAUACUCUACAUAUAAUAAGGGCACAAUAAAUGUUUUUGAUUGGUAGUUCUUUUAUCUUUUCCCCUUAGCAAAACUUCCUUUAUCUGGUAGCUCUCCCUCUUCUAGUACUAUGCAGGACAUUUGCAGCCUCUUGAUAUAAAUUUCCCUGAAGCCUAUAACUGUGGGCCCCCAUACAUAUUCAGUGGAGGAGUACCUUGGGAGGUAAUUCCUUAAGUCGCUGUUGCUGUGGAAGGAAUUCAGUAUGUAAGUAGCACUGAAUUCCAACGUUCAGGCCCUCUUACCGUAAAGAUCUAGAGCAGAGUUUUCCUCACUGUGGGUCACAGUCUAUUAGUAGGUCAUGAAGUCAAUGUGAUGGGUCUCUUCCGGCUUUGUCAUAUUUAAAAAGUGAUAAGGUAAGGUAGUGUAGGGUAAAGUAGAAUGCAAUAGAAUGCGGUAGAAAAUGAAAUCCAGAGGGUAUGUGCAUGGUUAGGGUCAAGUAUCGUAUGGCAGUUACUGAGCUGUCAUCUUUCAGCUUCAAACCUACCCUCUGUCCUCUGCUUUGUGUUGGUGGGGCUAGAAUUGUGCAAACCACAUUUCUCCUCUGUCAUCUGGGUGGAGAGGCUGGGGCAGCACAGCAGGACCAGAGGAAGAGCACAAGGCUGGAGGAGAGGGAAGCAACUUGCUCCUUCCUGACAGCCUGCUAUGCUUGGCAGCAUCACUCCUGCCACAGACUUUUAGCCUGGUGGCAGUUUUACUUGUCUCCAGCUUCUUAUUGUAUCUCAACCAGCCUCAUCGCAUCUCUUCUCCCUCCUCCCCAAAGCAUUACCUGCAGCAGCAGCCAGACAGUGUCCCUCUUCAGGAGCCUGUGCCCCAGCUUCAACAGGCCUUUCCUACAAACCCCAACCUCCUCUCCUCCCUUUGAUCUCCAGCCCUUCAGGCGGGAGCUGCUUCUUGCAGUUAUAACCUAUGUAUUACUCCAGUGUUCCUUUUUUAAUUUUUCAGUCCUUGAACAUCUGUCUAAUCAAUUCCCUGUGCUAAAUUCUUGCUCUUAAAAUACCUACUUAAAGUUUCUUUUUUCCUGACUGAACCCUGACUAAUAUGGAUUGUUAAGUAAGAUGUACUUCCUGCCAUAAGUGUCCAUCAAAAGGGUUUAAGAAACACUGCUUUAGAGGAUUGGGAGUUCUUAAAUAGCCAGAUGACCUGAGAUGCAGCUAAGGGGCCAGUCCUAACAUGUAGAGGUACUCUGGAUUUCAGGUCCAUGAAAAGCAAAGAUCCUGUUCCACUAUAGCAGUUGUCACUGUUGGACCCCAGUCACAGCCUGACCUGUAGGGAUCACUAGCGGUGAGCCUGCAGUUGUCCAUCAGAGUAUGGCCUGAACCCAUAUGGAAUCUGUCCUCUCUCAGAUAUGCAGAAAUUCAGCUUCUUUACUUGUUACAGUUUUACUCGUUAUUAGCAAGUGAGAGGAAGCAGAAAGUUAAUGAUGAAGAAAGCCGGGAACUACUACCAGAGACCUCAUACAGUGAAAUGGAACUUGACUGAGUGGAAGAGAAGGAUUUAAAAGGUGGAUUUUCAAGGUGUCAAUUUUCUCUCUCUGAUGCUGCCUUUUCUCUCAUGUAAUCCAAAGAGCUAGUAGACAAGAGGAGGAAAUGAAGAACCUUAUACUAAUACCUAAUACCUAUGUUUUUGCCUUAUCCAGUCAAAAUGAGGCUUUUGCUCUAUUUUAUUCGUGAACUUACUAUACUUAUGCCUCAGUCUCCCAUUAGAAGUGAAACUCACUUAAUCACAUAUUCCUAAUAAAAAGAACUGCUCCACAUUUCAGGAACUCAAAAUAUUUCUUAUGUAUGCCAAGAUAAACACAAAACCUCUUGGCAGCGAUCUAUGAGGAUUCUCCUUGCUUGUGAUUUUGCAUUUCUUUAUGCUAAUUCAGAAAUAUGAACAGAAAACCCAGGACUUGAGGCUGUUAAGUGGAUUUGUAACACUUGGAGUGUUGUGGGCACAUAACUCAAUGAAUGGAUAUAUAGUCAUCUGUGAUAGCUGGAGGAAUAGUAUUUUCAUUGAGCACUGCAGUAAGUCAUUGCAGAUACUCUGCUAGAUACUAAGACAUUAGCAACACUUUUUUCACCUAACUGUUUUAGGACCUUGCAUUUGGUAGAAGAAUACAUAACUCAAAGUGAAUUACUCAGGCAAAUGUUGGCAAGAGUUACUUCGUUUGUGCCAUGCAGAGAAUCUUCUAGUGAAUUGAAAAGCAUGUCAUCCUCUGAUUUACCCACUGAAGCAUGUUACAAUGUAGGUGGCAUGUCACAGAGGAAGAGCAGCUUGUGAUCAGGUUUUCUAUUCAUAGAAGACAGCGUUGUGCCAGGCAACCCCAACCACAGAACAUUUCAAGUAUGAAUGAAAAAGGAGCAGUACAGCUGGGAUCCCGUUUCCCCUUCUAAGGAGAUGCAAGCCCUCUCCAGGGCCCCUCCCAUGUCUGAAAUCCUUUCUUUUCCUAUUUUUCUUAAGUCUGUUCUACUUCCACUAUAGAGAAUUGAGAGUGAUGAGUUUUGGAGGAAAAUUCCAUUUCCUUUCUUCCCUCCUGUUUCUCAUGCAUUUGAGGUCAUCUUUGUGAUUUAUGUGCAUAAAUGAUACAAAAUCAUAAACGUUGGCUUACAUGAAUCGUUCCUAAAUGGUUAACUAUUCAAGCAAACUGUUCAUCAUCUGAUUCUCCCUGAUAUUCUCUCCUUAUGUUCGCUGGUCUGCCUCACUCCUUUCUCAAGUCUCACCUCAAUUUUCACAUUUCCAAAAAAAUCAUCACUGACAAUAAAGGAUUCUAACAGCACUUACUCAACCUCAUCUUGAUCCCUUUUUCCCAAAUUACUGGUUACCUGUUCUUACUGUCUGAAAGUGAAGUUAAGAUGAAAUAAAGUAAGUAUGGCAAUUACAUAAGAUUUGGAAGAACCAUAUGUUUCUUCCUUCUCGAUCUGUUCCAGGAUUUACACCUUCAUGACAGAAAAGCAUUUUAGUUUUUUUUAAUUUAAAACACAAAAAAGAAUUAUAGAGAGUUGCAUAACAAAAAAGAAACCCUGGUACUCACCACAUCCUGAUUUUGAUGUUAUUUUUGGAUUCAUGUUCUUUUACUAUUAUUACAUAUCUGUAUAUUACAGGCAUUACAUAAUAUCAUUUUGCAUAUUUUCAAGCUUUCUAUAAAUGUUGUUAUACUAUGCUUUCUUGAGGUUGCCUUUUUUUAUUCAACAAUAUAUUUCUGAGAUUUAUACAUUAAUAGAUUUAGUUCACUCAUUUUAAUUGCCGUAACCAUAUAAUACCAUUCAUCUGUUUCCUUUGAUGACUAGUUUAUUUCUAUCCUUCACUAAUACCAAAGGUUGUACAAUAAACAUUCUUGAAUAUUUCCAUGUACGUAUGUGUGAAAGGUUUUGGAGAGUUUAUCCAAGAAGUAGAAUGAUAGAUAGCAAAGGGUUCAUCUUCAGUUUUCCUAGAUUUCAUCAAUGUUCCCUAAAGUAACUGUAUUCAUGUACUGUCAGAACAGCAAUGUAAGAGAAUUCCCACUUCAUCAUAUCUUGGAAUUAUCUGACAUUUCUAUUUUUGCUGCUCUGAUGAGUGUGAAUGUAUGAAAGCGUAUUUGGGUUUGAUGUAGGUGUCACUGUAUGAGGGUUGUCAAGUCAGGAAUGUAAGGCUGAAGCUAAGGAAGCAGAGGAAGUCAAAUAUAAAUUAGGCUGCAUGUUGGUUAUCUAUUGCUGCAUAACAAAUUACCACAAACUUGCUCAAAACAAUGCAUAUUUACUUCACAGUUUCUGUGGGUCAGGAAUCCAGUCACAGCUUAGUGACUUCUCUGCUCUAGGAUGUCUCAUGAGGCUGCAGUCAAGGUUGUCAUCCAGGGCUGGGAUCUCUUUUGAAGGCUUGACAUGGGAAGGAUCUGCUUCCAGGCUCUCAUGGUGGUUGCCAGAAUUCAGUUCCUUGCAGGUUGUUGGACUGAGGGCCUCAGUUACUGUCCUGUUACUGUCCUGUGCUCUGAUGUUCUCUAUCCUAUUUCAUUUACAUUUAAUUCAUGAACUACUAGUAGGUGUAGCAAACACAGCCUGCAGGAUGCAGUGCAGAGUACAUGGUGACCUGGCCUGCUCUCUCUUCCUUGUUUUCUGCCUCCUUAUGCUCCCAGACCUCUGUGCCUACACAUGUCCUCCUUCUGCCUAUACCCACCUUCCCCUACUGUACCUGUCACCUUCCCAGCUCCUCUUUGCCCCUCAAGAAUCAGCUCAGGCAUUGCCUCUGGAACCCAUUGCCUGACCCCAGUCUUCUUUCCAUGUGCCCCAUAGAACCCUGUGCCCCCACCAUCACAGCACUUACUCUGAAUUGAAUCAUCUGUUCACUUCUCUGUUUUCCCACUAGACAAGUUCCUUAAGAAUGGGGAGUAGGUCUCUACAGUUUCGUAUCCCCAGCCCUAGCAUAGUGCCUGACAUAAAGUCAAAACCUAAUAGAUGUUUCUUAUAUGAACAAAUGAAUGAAUGUCAUAGAGAUUAAGAAUAGAGAAAGAAGUUCCUGAUAACAUUUAUUGAAGAUCUAUUAUACAUAGAGCACUGUGCUGGAGAGAAUUAUGAAAAAAAUAGUGGAACUUGACAGUGCUAAAUGAAAAAAAAUAGGUAUAAAAUGACCUGUACUUAUAAAUGAGGAUUCUUUAUAUCUGCAACUAAGUACCAUCAGAUGUCUCACUGACAGUGGAUUGAAUGAUGAAAGUGAGAUUUAAAGAACCCAUUUCUUUCAUCUUUUUUCUUUUUUUUUUUUUUUUUUUUUUUUGAGACAGAGUCUCACUCUGUCGCCCAGGCUGGAGUGCAGUGGCGCGAUCUCGGCUCACUGCAACCUCCGCCUCCCGGGUUCACGCCAUUCUCCUGCCUCAGCCUCCUGAGUAGCUGGGACUACAGGCGCCUGCCACCAUGCCCUGCUAAUUUUUUUGUAUUUUUAAUAGAGAUGGGGUUUCACCGUAUUAGCCAGGAUGGUCUCGAUCUCCUGACCUUGUGAUCCGCCCGCCUCAGACUCCCAAAGCGCUGGGAUUACAGACGUGAGCCACCGCGCCCGGCCUUUUUUUCUUAACUGAUUCCCUAUUUUCAUCUCUUACGAGAGAAACCUCAGGCAUUGCUCUUCUAACCCAGGUCUGCUCUCAAACAGAGAGACCCAGUGUUGAGCAAAAGAAAAGGGCUGUUCAAGUGAUUUUUAAUCAAGUACCCCACAUGACUAAUUCAGGUCCUCCAAAAUAGUCCCAGGGAGCCAAAAUGAGGUAAUAUGACAUGUUGUGGACUUGAAGGGUGGUUAAGGACACAUACAGCCACUGCUUCAGAUGCCGCUGUGAGGCAGAAAAUUCAGGAAUGCAGUAGAGGAGGGGAAUGUGAACCCAGAAUGCACUCAGUGUCUCUCCUUCAGACGCUUUUUUGACCCUCGGAAGCCUGGUCUGCUCAGGUCAAUUCUGCAACCCUGGAUGUUGAAUUAGUGAAUAAACAAACUAGGUCAAAAACAAAUGCAGACUAUAUUAAAAAGAAUAAGAUAUGUUCUCCUUGUUUUGGGCUUAAUUUAAAAUCCUAAGAGCAGGAUAACAGCAUCAUAAAUAACAUGACCUCUCUCAAACUACUGCCUUCUCCUACUAGUUAUAAUAAUAGCAACAGCUUAUAUUUGUAUCUAUUUUUAUAGUCUGUGAGACGCUUUAUCUUUUUUCAGCUUAUUUGAGCUCAGAGCAGCCUUGUAAAAUAGGUACAAGUAUUAUACCCAUUUUGUAGGUGAGGAAACUGAGGUUCACAGAGGUUAAACAACUGUGGAUCACACAGCAACUGACUAGGACUGUUUGGGAUUCUAAGGUAUAAUAGUGCCAAUUUGUUGAAAGGGAAUAGCAACAAAAAAACUUGGACUCUAACCCCAAGUCUGCCAGCUAUUAAGGUGUAUGAUCUUGGACAUGUCGUUUACCUUUUUUUUUUAAAAAAAAAAAAAAGACAGGGUCUCACUCUGUCACCCAGUUUGGAGCGCAGUGGUACGAUCAUAGCUCACUGCAUCCUUGAACUCCUGGGCUCAAGCGAUCCUUCUGCCUCAGCCUCUUGAAUAGCUGGGACUACAUAGAUGUGUGCCAACCACACCUGGCUAAUUUUUUAAAUUUAUUGUAGAGACGGGUCUUGCUGUGUUGCCCAGACUGGUCUUGAACUCCUAGGCUCAAGGGAUCCUCCCAAAGUGCUGGGAUUACAGGCAUGAGCCACCAGGUUUGGCCCCAUUCAACCUUCUGACCUUCAUUUACUCACUUAUAAAAAAUGUACAUAAUCGGCCGGGCGCGGUAGCUCACGCCUGUAAUCCCAGCACUUUGGGAGGCCGAGGCGGGCGGAUCACAAGGUCAGGAGAUUAAGACCAUCCUGGCUAAUAUGGUGAAACACUGUCUCUACUAAAAGUACAAAAAAAUUAGCUGGGUGUGGUGGCACAUGCCUGUAGUCCCAGCUACUCGGGAGGCUGAGGCAGGAGAAUCACUUGAACCCAGGAGGUGGAGGUUGUAGUGAGCCGAGAUCGGGCCACUGCAUUCCAGCCUGGUGACAGGGCAAGACUCCAUCUCAAAAAAAAAAAAAAAUGUACAUAAUCAUACCUUCCCUCUCUGCCUCACAGGGUGCCUAUGAGGACAAAAAAGGUGGUAUAUGUGAAAGUGCUUCAUAACUGAGCUGGUAAUCCAUAGAUGUCUGGUAUUAGCAAUGUUUUCUAAUAAAAUAAUAAGAGUAAUACUCGUUAUAACCUCUUUGCUUUGACAGUGCCUUUCAUUGCAGCCAUUCAGUAAUUUUGCAGCUUAUUAUCACCUGUAUAACACCCCUGUUGCUACCAUGUCUAAAGGUGCACAAGCAGCCAGCCAGUGAGGGAAGGGGAAGGUCUUUCUUCUCAGCAUGUCUUUAGAGCAGUGAUUCUCUAAGUUGUAGCACACUGGAAUCCCCUGGGGAGCUUCACACAUGCAGGUGUCUAGGUCCCACCCUGGCCAAUUAAAAUUUAAUCUGGUGGGGAGGAACUGGGCACCAGUAUUUUUUUAAAGUUUCCCAAGUGAUUCUAAUAUGCAGCCAAGGUUGGCAACCACUGCUCUUUGGACUAUUUGUACAUCUCAGUGGCUGCUGAAAGUGAUCACAGUUUUAAAAGAACACAGCUUGUGGUUCUGGAAAAAUCCAUCUGCUUUUUCCAGAAAUGUAGUACGUAAGUCAAAUAGGUCUGAGGUCACUUGGGAGAGAAAUCCAAGAGUUGGACUGAGAGCUCAAACCACAAAGAUUCUAAAUGCCACCAUCACUUAGAUAGCUGCCCUUUUUCCUGAACUGCCACUGUUGACAGAUAAGAUGGUGCACACAGCGAGAAUCUGAGCAGCACAGAGCCCCCCAUCCCCAUCACUGUUCCUCCACUAAGCUCCCCUUGAAAACAUUCCACAGGACUUCCUAUUCACGGUGAUUAGAAAAGUGAAUACCUCCUAUUUUAAAAGAAAAAAAUCUCAGAGGAUAAGCACGUAGCCGACGAGUGGCCAAUUCUGUAAUUUUCCCCAUGGAUAAUAAGGAAAUAAUCAUACAUUAUUUAAUAAUGUAUUUUUCCAUUGAAUUCCAAUGUGUCUACAAAUUAUACAUGUUUUAUAUGAUGUUUCACUUUAGGGUUAAGCCAAAUAAGCAUACAUUUAUUUUAUAAAUAUAAAUAUAUUAUCUAUUAAAAUAGUUUCUAGUAAAAACAUAGGUUUAGCUAUUUGACUCAAAUUUCUUAAAGAAGCCAUAGUUAGAAGAAAAUAUCCACUAGAGUAUACUAGACUUUAUGUCUUCGCAGGAGAAGUAACACUUCCUCAUCUGUUUACCUCUCAACUCCCUUCUCCAACUAGAAAUGAAGACACAAGAUAAUAAAAGGAUUUGACUUUUCAGUAUCCCUUUCGAACUGGGCACCACCCAGAAGAAAGAUUCUGUUAACUACUCCCUUUAGAAAUUAUCUCAAGGUGAGUUGCAUGUCUCAUUUGAUCACUUCUUUUACAAGACUGGAAACAAUUUGUAUGGAGUAAACUCCUGUUACCAGACCUGGAGGCUUAAAUAAUGAAGAGGUUUAUCUCUCAUCUGAGAAGAGUUUAUAGUCCGCAGCAAUAGCCUGGAGACAAAUACACCUCUGGGAUCCCACAAAGGCGGUAAUUAGGCAGCAUUUUAUUGUGAUGCAGUGAGUGUGCAAAGGACAGAGCUGGACUACUCUUAGGAACAAAAUUGGCUUCCUGGAGAGCCGACAGAAGAAAUCUGGCAACCUAAAAAUAUUUAAAGAGCUUACGACCCCCAAGGGAGAAUUUCCAGCUAUUAAAGUAGAAAAGAUUAAACAUUUGCUGGGCUUGAAAAGGAGAUUUUUAAUGGAAACACUCAGGAAAAUACAGUUUAGAUAGAGAAUCUUAAAAAAAAAAAAAAGAUCAGACCUGUCAUAUACAGAGCAAUCAAAUGGGAGACUUUAUAUUUUCUUCGUAAUGACAUAAGAAAAAGGAUCUAAAAAUAGAUCCUACCGAUAAUGAACUCUUCCUUCUCCUGCGUUUAUUAGAAUAUAACACCUUCAUUACAGAGAGGACAUGUUCCUACUCACCAUCUCACAGGCAUAAAUCUUGACAUGGUCUUCACACCCUUUUCCUCUGGCCCCUAAUUACAAUUCUGCUAUUUAUUUCUCAACACAGCCUACAUUUCGUGUGUUUCUCGUAUGAAUGAGUUGCAGUGUGUGCUGUGGUUAAGCUGGUGGGCACCAGGCCCAGCUCCCUCAAGUUUGGCUUUCUGACCUUGCCAAUGACUUCACCCUUUGUGCCUUAGUUUCCGUGGCUAUAGAAUGGGGAUAAUAAUAGCACCAGUCUCUGUGUGUUGUCAGGAGGAUUAAGGCACAGCAUAGCACUGAGGAAAGUGCACAACACUCAGUAAAAACACAAUAAAUGUUCAUCAUUAUUGUCACUACUCUGCAUUCCCUUAGUGCCUAUAAAAAUAGCAUAUUUUUAAAAUAAAAAAAACAAGAUACAUGGUCUAACAAAAGAUUGUUUUCAGAUUCAUGGAUUUAUGUGGAAAGUCUCAAGACAUUUAGUUAUACAUUAAGGUAUCUUUUUUAUUACUGUAAUUACUUAACAAUCCUAAAAUCCAAGAAGUAUUCCACAGCAUGGUCCCUGACCUUCAAGCAGUUUAUAUUCCACUUGAGAGACAGAACAUAUGCCCAUGAACUAUUAAACACAAAUCCAAAGCAGUUCAUGAUUAUGUAUAAAACGAGUAGUUCAGAAGGUGAGAACUAGAAAAAUGGGGAGAGGGAAUUCUGAGGGAAUCAAGUCUCCAUUGUGUGCAUGAAGUUGAUAGAGAACUUCAUUUGGACCAUGAAAUAAAGGUAAGGAAAAUGAAGGGAUUUUCCAGCAGGCAGGAAGACAUGAAGGUAAGAGCAAGUCAACAGAGCCGUUCAUCUGCCGCAGGUGAUUUGCCUCUGAAAUUAGGUGACAUCGGUGGAUGAGGCACAGGUUAUGCAGUUGAGGGGUUCAAAUGCCAGAGGGAAGAUUCUGACUUCACCCUGAGAGUCUCUGAAGUUUUGUUAGUUGGAAAGUGGCAUAAACACAGAUGCAAUAUAGGUUUAUAUGGGGAGAGACAGGAGUCAAGGAGAAACGCUGAUGGUUUUUAAUAAUAAUCUAGGUAUAACUCAGACGGGGCCUACCAGGGUGGGGACAUUGGGAACAUAAAGGAAGUGACAGACAGCCGUGAAAGCAUGACAAAGACUCAUCCCCUUCGCUCCAUUCUCACAGCCCAAAUCCUCCCAGAGCAGCCUUUGCUAUCUGAGCACACCAAGCCAAGUUCAGGAGCACCAGAUGCCAGAUGCACCUCCAAGGUUUUCCAAGGUCCUUGUGGACAGUCUCAUCCUGAUUUCCAUUUACUCCCACUUGCCUUUCUAUCAUGUGUACCCGAUAGAUUCCAAAAAUAGAAAAUCAUAUGUCUCCCUCCUUCUAAAAGCAUGUAGUAUUUUCCAGUUGUGUAGGCUUUCUAAAAAUAUU